AAACAACUGAAUUUUAAACCAGACUCAGCAACUAACGUGACAUUGUGAAGGACACACCAGCACUUAUCAUCUCUCCAGAUGAGUUGCUUGUACUUCUGGAAAGAUGAAUCCAGCAGAUUGGUGUGUACAGGGAAGAAAGGAAAUGACACGGAGCUGUUGCACAUUGUUAUCGAGAACUGAAACGCAGUGAGAUGGAGGAUCCACACGGCAGUGCUCAGAGGCCUGAAAAUUCAUUUGAAAAGAGCAGGAAGUUAAUUCUGCAGAGGUUAUUCCUUC